rnacentral:tRNA from 1 species
GGGACUGUGGCUUAGUGGUAGAGUGUUUGUCUUGCAUAUAUGAAGUCCUGGCUUCGAUUCCUCAGUACCA